UGGGGAAUUUUGGACAAUGGACGCAAGUCUGAUCCAGCCAUGCCGCGUGCGGGAAGCAGGCCUUCGGGUUGUAAACCGCUUUUGUCAGGGAAGAAAUCUUCUGGGUUAAUACCUCGGGAGGAUGACGGUACCUGAAGAAUAAGCACCGGCUACCUACGUGCCAGCAGCCGCGGUAAUACGUAGGGUGCACGCGUUAAUCGGAAUUACUGGGCGUAAAGCGUGCGCAGGCGGUUAUGCAAGACAGAUGUGAAAUCCCCGGGCUCAACCUGGGAACUGCAUUUGUGACUGCAUGGCUGGAGUGCGGGAGAGGGGGAUGGAAUUCCGCGGGUAGCAGUGAAAUGCGUAGAUAUGCGGAGGAACACCGGUGGCGAAGGCAAUCCCCUGGAACUGUACUGACGCUGAUGAACGAAAGCGUGGGGAGCAAACA
rnacentral:rRNA from 1 species